rnacentral:rRNA from 1 species
CCUGGGGGAGGCAGCAGUGGGGAAUAUUGCACAAUGGGGGAAACCCUGAUGCAGCGACGCCGCGUGAGUGAAGAAGUAAUUCGUUACGUAAAGCUCUAUCAGCAGGGAAGAAACACUGACCUUACGGUCAGCAGACGGUACCUGAGGAAGAAGCCACGGCUAACUACGUGCAAGCAGCCGCGGGAAUACGUAGGGGGCAAGCGUUAUCCGGAUUUACUGGGUGGAAAGGGAGCGUAGACGGUGCGCCAAGUCUGGAGUGAAAUGCCGCAGCCUAACAGGGGAAGUGCGUUGGAAACUGGCGACAUGGAGUGCGGGAGGGGUAAGCGGAAUUCCUAGGGUAGCGGUGAAAUGCGUAGAUAUUAGGAGGAACACCGGUGGCGCGGGCGGCUUACUGGACCGUAACUGACGUUGAGGCUCGAAAGCGUGGGGAGCAAACAGGAUUAGAUACCCUAGUAGUC